rnacentral:rRNA from 1 species
GUUUCCCUACGGGGGGCAGCAGUGGGGGAUAUUGCACAAUGGGGGAAACCCUGAUGCAGCGACGCCGCGUGUGGGAAGACGGUCCUCUGGAUUGUAAACCACUGUCCCCAGGGACGAAGAUGACGGUACCUGGGGAGGAAGCUCCGGCUAACUACGUGCCAGCAGCCGCGGUAAUACGUAGGGGGCAAGCGUUAUCCGGAUUUACUGGGUGUAAAGGGAGCGUAGACGGUCCUGCAAGCCAGAUGUGAAAGCCCGGGGCUCAACCCCGGGACUGCAUUUGGAACUGUAAGGCUAGCGUGUCGGAG